rnacentral:rRNA from 1 species
GCAAUUCCACGGGCGGAGCCUGAUCAGCCAUGCCGCGUGAGUGAAGAAGGACUUCGGGUUGUAAAGCUCUUUAGAAGGCUUGAUGACGGUAACUUCAGAAGAAGCCCCGGGAAAAACGUGGCAGCAGCCGCGGUAAUACGAAGGGGGCUAGCGUUGUUCGGAAUUACUGGGCGUAAAGCGCGCGUAUUCUUGUGUGCAUAGUCAGGGGUGAAAUCCCGGGGCUCAACCUCGGAAUUGCCUUUGAUACUGGCACGCUUGAAUCCGUGAGAGGGUGGUGGAAUGGCCAGUGUAGAGGUGAAAUUCGUAGAUAUUGGCCGGAACACCAGUGGCGAAGGCGGCCACCUGGCGCGGUAUUGACGCUGAGGCGCGAAAGCGUGGGGAGCAAACAGGAUUAGAUACCCUGGUAGUCCACGCCGUAAAUUAUUAGUGCUAGCUGUUGGCCGGCUUGCCGGUCAGUGGCGCAGCUAACGCAUUAAGCACUCCGCCUGGGGAGUACGGCCGCAAGGUUAAAACUCAAAGGAAUUGACGG